rnacentral:rRNA from 1 species
CAGCCCCCCGAGUGGUGGGGAUGAUUAUUUGGCCUAAAGCGUCCGUAGCCGGCUUUGUAAAUCUCUCGUUAAAUCCAGCGUCCUAAGCGUUGGACUGCGAGGGGAACUGCAGAGCUAGAGGGUGGGAGAGGUCAGCGGUAUUCCUGGGGUAGGGGCGAAAUCCAUUGAUCCCAGGAGGACCACCAGUGGCGAAGGCUGCUGACUAGAACACGCCUGACGGUGAGGGACGAAAGCUGGGGUAGCGAAUCGGAUUAGAUACCCGAGUAGUCCCAGCCGUAAACGAUGCAGGCUAGGUGUUGGGUCGGCCCACGCGCCGCCUCAGUGCCACAGGGAAGCCAUUAAGCCUGCCGCCUGGGAGUACGGCCGCAAGGCUG